AACGAACGCUGGCGGCAUGCCUAACACAUGCAAGUCGAACGAGACCUUCGGGUCUAGUGCCGCACGGGUGCGUAACGCGUGGGAACCUGCCCUUAGGUUUGGAAUAACUCCCCGAAUGGGGUGCUAAUACCGGCUAUUGUCUUCGGUCCAAAGUUUUAUCGCAUUUGGAUGGGCCGGCGUUGGAUUAGCUGGUUGGUAGGGUAAAAGCCUACCACGGCGUCAAUCCAUAGAUGGUCUGAGAGGCAGAUCAGCCACACUGGGAGUAGGACACGGCCCGGAAUACUGCGGGAGGCAGCAGUGGCUGAUAUAGGACAGCGGGGUGAGGCCUGAACCACCUAGGCCGCGAGAGUGAUGAAGGUCGUGGGGUUGUAAAGUACGUUUACCCGUGAUGAUAAUGACAGUACCAGGAGAAUAAGCACCGGCUAACUCCGUG
rnacentral:rRNA from 1 species